rnacentral:rRNA from 1 species
GAUGAACGCUGGCGGCGUGCCUAAUACAUGCAAGUCGAACGAGGUGCUUUUGUAGCAAUACGAGAGUAUCCUAGUGGCGAACGGGUGAGUAACGCGUUGGUGACCUGCCCCAAAGUGUGGGAUAACAGUCCGAAAGGAUUGCUAAUACCGCAUGUGGUCUCUGGGUUUAGAAACCGGUGACUAAAGGAGUAAUUCGCUUUGGGAGGGACCUGCGUCCCAUCAGCUAGUUGGUGAGGUAACGGCUCACCAAGGCGACGACGGGUAGGGGACCUGAGAGGGUGACCCCCCACAGUGGAACUGAAACACGGUCCAUACACCUACGGGUGGCAGCAGUAGGGAAUAGUGGUCAAUGGGCGAAAGCCUGAACCAGCAACGCCGCGUGUGCGAUGAAGGCCUUCGGGUCGUAAAGCACUUUUCUGGGAGAUGAGAAAGGACAGUAUCCCAGGAAUAAGUCUCGGCUAACUACGUGCCAGCCGCCGCAGUAAUAC